UCGCGUCGCCGUUUGGUUUUUUUUUGGUUCGGUUAUUUCCGCGUAAUCGGCAUCCGGCACUUGUUUGAACGCGUUCCUGGCGAGGUUCCCGGAGCUACCUCCCGGUGUUUGUUGGACCUGUUGGACAGAUCCGCCGGGUUGAUCUGUUGUGAAGCAACAAAAAUUGCAGGAGGAGCCGCCAUGACGUGCAGGAAGGACGCGCUGGAAAGGUCCUGAACGCGUUCCCGGUGCUGGUGCUGGUGUUGACUGGACAGAUCCACCAGGCGACGGAUCCGGUACGGCUCCCGAAUGGCGACGAGAAGUUUAGCAACCACGAGGGCUAAUUUCUCGUGGAUUGUGCUGCUUGAUUGCGCGAAUGCCGACAGCUCCGUUCAUUAAAGUAGACGACGUGUUCAGCUUCAUCAAGAAUAUAUUUUCGAGCAGUGUGGACGCACUGGAACUAAACUAAAGGAAACGUGAACCAGUUCCAUCGAUCCGUGGAUGGCUUGAUUGAACCGGAAUUUCAAAAGAAAACGGCGUGGAGAGAAAGCGUUAAAUGAAAUUUAAAUAAAAUGCAAUAAAAAAAAACAA